CAGUCGCCGCGGUAAUACGAAGGGUGCAAGCGUUAAUCGGAAUUACUGGGCGUAAAGCGUGCGUAGGCGGUUUGUUAAGUCUGUUGUGAAAUCCCCGGGCUCAACCUGGGAAUGGCAAUGGAUACUGGCAAGCUAGAGUGUGUCAGAGGAUGGUGGAAUUCCCGGUGUAGCGGUGAAAUGCGUAGAGAUCGGGAGGAACAUCAGUGGCGAAGGCGGCCAUCUGGGACAACACUGACGCUGAGGCACGAAAGCGUGGGGAGCAAACAGGAUUAGAUACCCCCGUAGUCCCUGUCUCUUAUAA
rnacentral:rRNA from 1 species